UUUUUUUUUUUUUGCACUAUUGACUUUUACAAUUGGUUGAGAACAAUGUUGAUUUCAAUGGUUUUACCCUUCUCUAUCUACAGGUCAAGUUCAAGUUUUCAUUCCUCUUGUUGAAUGACAACAGUCAAUUACUGGAAAAUGACUUUGUGUUCACUGUAAACUGUGUAUUUUUCUAACAAAUUUAUUUAUUGCUCUUUAUUUUUGCUGUAUCAAAUGAAAAUACAAUGUUUAUGGUACAGUAUGCAAAACAUCUAUGUUGGUGCAUACCAGACCAACUAUUAAUAAUCAUAUUCAGUGCUUUACAUGUUUUAAGCUUUACAUGUUAACAUCAUAGCUGUUUUUUGUUGUUGUUUGUUUGUUUUUUACUUCUAUGUAAAAAUUUUACAAAGCCUUUACUACAUUUUAGGAAAUUUACUGGGAGUUUGGAAGUGACUUAUAACCCAGGAUCAUUUUUCCCAUUUUAAAUAAUGGAAAAAUUUGCUUCCAGUUAUCAUUUUCCUGCAGAGUAUUGGUGUUUCAGGAUUUUCAGUCUACUAAUGUUAACUAAGGGAUACCUGUAGGUUUUUUUAAUCGUGUCUUUCAUUUUGCUCAUAGUUUCAAGUUCUUAGGGAAUUAUCUUCCUCGUUAUGUAAAUAUAUUGACAUUCAAAUUGAGAUUUAUCAUUGUAUGGUUUUUGUAGUAUUGGCGGUGGGUGGGUGUGUGUGACUGGGGCGGGGUGGGGGGAGAGAAAGAAAGGAGAGGAGAAAGAGAAAGAAAGAAGGAACUCUUCUUUUGCAAGACAUUUUUUUCCUAGUAAGAAUCCUGCAUGUCCUUACUUCUAGAAUGUCCCUCUAGAGAGGUUCUCUGUUUGCUACUGCUUUGGGCCCCAUGGAUAUCACCAAGCUAGGAUCAGUUUUAUGGUAACGUAUCAGCUUAGAGAUUUCUUCACCACUAAUGUAUCACAAAUUCAGAUGCAAUCCCCUCCUCAGUGCUGACUUGGAAUUUUUCUUUUUUACUGAACACUUUCUUUUCCCCAUGUAAAGCAUCAGGAGGAAUAAAUUUCACAUUCUCCAAGGCAAUGGAUGAGAUUCUUUUUAGUCCUCUUUUCCAGAGAUGGCUCAGUGAAAUUUUUCAGAUACAUUUACUAAGGCUCUCGACUCUGUCUCUCUUGAUGGAUCCAAGGUCUUGUUUUAUGCCCUUUUGUAAAAGUUAAACUAUCGAGUCUUUUGCCACAAAGGGCCUAUGUCUGGAUCCUGUAACUACUCGAAACUGCCACCAAUCCAUCUACCAAUCCCACCACUCUAGACUUUAAUCCGCAAUUGUUUUCUACAAGAAAGUUAUCUUCUUUGUGUCCUGAAGCAUGUAUUUGAAUUUCUGAAUCUUUCAGUGAGAAACUUUUGCAUAUUAAUCUUUUUCAAAUAGUCCAUUCCUACAACUAAAUAUUGAUUGAAAAAGUUAAAAUUAUUUCUCUCAAAAAGCCCAGUUUUUAGGACUUUCUGUAUCUUAUUCUCCUUUUGAAUUGAUUAAAGCUGCUUUGCCCUUCCCUUCUUCUCCCUGCCCAUGUGGUUAUCAUGGUAGGCUCAACUCCCUCUCAGGAAGAAAUCAGGAGUAAGAAUUUGAUCAUCGUAUUCAAACAAGACUGUGGUGGAUUGUACUGUC
rnacentral:lncRNA from 9 species